rnacentral:rRNA from 1 species
UACGUAGGGGGCAAGCGUUGUCCGGAAUCAUUGGGCGUAAAGAGCGUGUAGGCGGCCUGAUAAGUCGGUUGUGAAAGUCAAGGGCUCAACCCUUGAAUGCCGGCCGAUACUGUCAGGCUAGAGUCCGGAAGAGGCGAGUGGAAUUCCUGGUGUAGCGGUGAAAUGCGCAGAUAUCAGGAGGAACACCGAUGGCGAAGGCAGCUCGCUGGGACGGUACUGACGCUGAGACGCGAAAGCGUGGGGAGCAAACAGG